rnacentral:rRNA from 1 species
AUGCAGGUGAUAAAUACAAGAAUGGCAUUGGCGCCUAGCAAGUUCCUGCACCUGAAGUACCUGAGUAUUAGUAUUCAUGUUCAUGGUGACUACGAUUAUUUUUCUCUAGUUUCUUUUCUUGGUGCCGCUCCCUCCUUGGAGACAUUCAUACUGAAUGUACAGACACAGCUAGAACACACUGAUGAAUUGCUUUCUGAAGACCCCUCGCAUCUAAGGAAGAUGCUAGGAUACCACCAUGACAAGCUCAAGAAAGUGGAGAUAUCUCGGUUCUACUCUUCAAAGAGCUUGGUUGAGCUGACGUGCCAUAUUCUCGAAAACUCAGCAUCACUGGAGUGCCUUACACUGGACACCACCGGUGGUGGUCUCCGGUGUUCUGACCGCGAGUUCUGUAAGUGCUCCUUCUUGGAGAGAACCAAGGAGGCCCAUACAGCAGUCCUGGUAAUCGGAAAAUACAUCGUUGGAAAAGUUUGCUCUAGAGUUAAGCUAGUUGUUGUGGAGCCUUGCAUCCGGUGCCAUACCCUUAACCCAUAG